rnacentral:rRNA from 1 species
UACAGAGGGGGCAAGCGUUGUUCGGAAUUACUGGGCGUAAAGGGCGCGUAGGCGGCCUGUUAAGUCGAACGUGAAAUCCCUCGGCUUAACCGGGGAACUGCGUCCGAUACUGGUUGGCUUGAGUUUGGGAGAGGGAUGCGGAAUUCCUGGUGUAGCGGUGAAAUGCGUAGAUAUCUGGAGGAACACCGGUGGCGAAGGCGACAUCCUGGACCGGUAUUGACGCUGAGGCGCGAAAGCCAGGGGAGCAAACGGG